GAAGGAAGAAGAAGAAGCAGAAGGGAUGGAUGGAACCCGCAAUAACAGUGGUGGAGGUUCAUACAGCCUUGGUGCCACUUUCUUAGCUUCCAAGUUUGCAGCAAAUGCACUUCGUGGUAUCCAUCGGAAUCGGAAUGCUAAGAGUGCAAAGGAGUUGGUGAAACUACAAAAGCCUCCGGAGCCUGAUUUUACUGCCGAAGAUGCAGAUUGAUUUGUUAAAAUGCUGUUACUUUGAUCUAAAUUGUAUUCGCUUGGCAGAUCUAAAAACAAUGUAUAAUAUCACACACAUUCCGGUUUGGAAUAGGAGUUGUUAAGGCUUGCUGGAGAAAUGUUAUGACUGUAAAGCUUGCUAGCUGCUUUAUUAUGCCUACGGAUUCCCAUUUCUCUAACCAAGUAUAGCUGAGAAUAUUAAGGCCUCUUAUCAUGUUCCAAUUGUAGGGAAAGGGCGUUUCAAUGAUUGCACGUGUGAAGAAACAUAUGAUGUGUGCCCCCGGAUCAUCAUAUGGAAAAGCCAUCCUUGCUAACGAACAACAUUUUUUCCAACGUUGGAUGUUGACGGAAUUGCUUGUAAUUAAUCUUCUGUGUCUCAUUAGUUCUGAUGUGAUAGGAUUUAAAUGGAAUCCGACCCUACCUCGGACCAAGAUUAGUAAGAAUGAAGCACCACCAUAUCUUCCAGCCCCACAAACACCCCGUGUUCACGAAGAUAUUUGAAAGAGUAAUGAAAAUGAGUAGUGUACAUUUUCCACGGAGGGAAGACUUUGACUUCCCAAGUGAAAGGAUUCCCUCGUUUCCUCUAAAUACUACUUCUUCAUUCAGAUUCUGCGUAACAAUUUGCCAUUUGAAGUUCAUUAGAACCAAAACCUGCUUCUGCAAUCAAAGAUAUGGUACUCUUGUUGAUCAGACAAUCAUCUUUGUCCUUCCGAGUCUCGUUCUUCUUCACCCUCCUGCUGCUUUCUUCUUUCCAUGUCUUCGUUUCUGUCUCUGUUUCAAAUUCUUCAAUUCCUAGAGAUGAAUCAACAGGAGUGAAGGAAGCGAAUGCUCUUCUUAAGUGGAAGGCUAGUCUUGAUCAUCAAAGUCAGUCUGUCCUGUCUUCUUGGGUUGGAAAUGACACUUGCUACUGGAUUGGGAUCAUUUGUGACAAGUCUGGAAGGGUUAGCCACUUGAACCUUUCAAACUCCGGUUUAAUAGGUACACUUCAUGAUUUUAGCUUCUCUUCUUUCCCUGAACUUGCUGUUCUUGAUCUAUGGAACAAUUCUCUCCGUGGAAUUAUUCCAUCCGAUAUCGGCAAUAUAUCUAAACUAACCUAUCUCGACUUGUCUGUCAAUUAUUUUUUUGGAAAUAUACCUUUUGAAAUAGGAAAGUUAAGGUCUCUUUCUCAGCUCUAUUUAGAAAAUAACAUUCUGACAAGUUCAAUCCCUCUUUUUAUAGGAAACUUGACAAACCUGUCCUUUCUUUACUUGUUCAGAAAUAAGCUCUCUGGUGCUAUACCUCAACAAGUUGGAAUGUUGAAAUCUCAACAAGUUUCGAGAUGCUGGUCUUUUUUCUCCUUUUCUGGUCCACUAUUUUCCAGGUAGUUAACAGUAUUGUCUUGUUGAGUUAUUUUGCAAAUUUACGAUAUCUUUAGGCAAGUUUAAUGCGGUAAUACAGAUGAAGGACCCAUUGAGUCAAGCAUUCAAAAAAAAAAGGACUUGAUAUGAGAAGCUGAUGAGUUGAGUGCCAUUUUCAGGCCUAAUUGGCCCCGAGUUUUACCACGGUGACUCGCUCCAACAUGACUCAUCAUCUUUAGAUAACCAUUCAACCUAACAUAUAUGCUCCUUUUGGCAACAUAACCCUCUCCACAUCUACCACACCUUCCAUCACGCUCGUCGGACUCUCAUCACAAACCUCUUCCUCUCCUACGCCGCUAUCGCCGAGACAAAGCCCUCGCAACACAUUCACCAAUUCAAACGGCGUUGUGUUGCAAUCUGACGAUGUGAAGGGGUUCUGCAUAGAGGCUUGAAUCAGUGCAUUGAGUUGCUUGUUGAGGUUGCGUUGAACUGCAAUACCCCAGCCCAAAUAAUAUUUGGACUGAAGUAUUAACAUAAAAAAAAAAAAAAAACAGUAACAGAUACGCCUUUACAAAUAAUUGGGCCUAAAUUACUUUCUUAUGCUGAAGUUAUUAAAAUUUCAUUAGGGUUAAUAUAAAUAUACUAUUUGAACAUAGGCGGUCACCUUAAUGUGAAAAACCUAAAACUAUAUACUUUUACAUAGGAUUUGGGGAUUUUCAAGAACAACUUGAAGGAUAAGCAUUCAAAGGUUGCUUCUAGAUCGAUCAUUACAAGGUGAGUAAAAUCCUCUUUUAAAUCGAAGAAAAAUAUGUUAUUGAUUUACAAAAAUUUGGAUUGAAAUUGAAAAGGAAAAUCUGUUUGUAGCAUCAAGUAUCAUGCACUGUAGAGUCACUUUGAGUCUAAUUAUGAAAUGAUUUAUGGAGUUUCACUAGUUGAGUUAUAUACGGUUGGAAAGCUACAUAACUCUAUUUUUUAACAUAUAAAAUGGAAGUGGAUUCCGAGUUUUUUAUGCAAAGAUAUGAUUUUUUUUUUUUGUAAAGACAGUGCAAACUGCCUGACAGCAAUGCCAGAGGCAAUUUCAAAAAUUUUCUGCACUUUUCCUAUAGUGAAAGAAGUUUUGAGAUUUAUAAGGAUAGAAAGCUUAUCAAGUCUAGUUUCCAACGCACUAAACGAAUCUCAUUUUCGAGUUUCAUAGCUUAAGAUAUGGUUAUUUUACUAAAUGAUGUGCAAGCUACUAGAUUUCUGAUUUAGGAGAGUUUGGAUUAUUUUGUGUAGUUUUGGAUAAUAAAUAAACUUUAGAGAGUUAGAUGAUUGCUACUAUAUUUAAAUGAUUAUUAUUAGGCUUUUGAGUAUUUUGGAAGGAAGUGAGUUUGUUAGAAUGAAGGGAGGUAAGUAUAUCUUCACACACCUUGUUUCGAAAUUAUCGUAUAUGUAUAUUUCUUAAAUGAAUUAAAUGUUUUAUUUAAUUAUUUAAGUAUAUUGAAAAUAAAGUCAAGUAUAUGAUUAUCUUCUGUUUUGAGCUUAAUAAUAUGAUGAAUAUUGACUUAUGAAUGAUUUGGUUUACUCAUGUGAUGGAAAAUUGGAUUUUCAAAUGAUUUGAGUUUUACAUAUGAUGAAUAUUAUUCUAUGAAUACUUUGAUUGAUUUAUGUGAUGAAUAUCAAUUUAUGAACGAAAGAAAACUUUUGAUCAUCUUUAAAGAAUGUUUUAAGAGCUACGAAAUAAUCACUAAAAAGUGGGAUAAUCAACACCAAAACUAGUUCUAUGGCCCUACUAACGAGAUAUAAUAGUUAGCAAACGGCCUUAUUAAUGAGAUAUAAUAGUUAGUAACGAUCAUGAAAAUGAUUAGUCAAUACAGCCCUUGUCAUAGGAUAUAAUAGUGACAGUAACUAAGAUAAUGAAACUUUACGAAUUUAAAAGAUUGAAUCUAUGAUUUGCUAGAAUGAUAUUUCAAAAAUGAUAUAUGAUGAUCAAUGAUUUAAAAACUCACAAUGUUAUCCAUUUUUGUAUAUAAUGAUUCUUUAACUAUUUGGAAGCAUGAUUUAUUGAAAUGUCCUUAAAUGAUCUAUAUGUUAUAUUGAAAACAAUGCUUGAUCCGGUAAGGUGUGUGUGGCUAUACUUGCUGAGCCGUGGUUUGCUUAUUCUUUUAUUAUAUUUUUCAGACGACUAAAUAUAUGAACCUUAAGAUCAUAGGAGCUAAGAGAAUAAAUUGAGAAGUUUGUCCUAGUGUCAAGACAUUGUUAGCUUCUUUGAAACACAUACUAUAUAUAAUGGAUAUUUAAGUUUCUAGAUGUUUAUUUAUUUUUCUUGGAGACGUUAGUCAAAUCUUAAUCAUUAAUUAUACCAAUAUGUUGGAAUAGAAUCAUUAUUACGACUUUAAAUUUUGGACUAUUUCAAGUAUGAUGAAAGGAAAGGCUUUGUAUUACUUUGGGACCUAGUCUCAAGGUAAUAUGACCAUGUCAGGAUUGGGGAAUGACAAGAAUGGUUUUCUCUUAGGGGAUAAGGAGACAAAGGGAGAGGGGGGAAUAUGAGGAACGGAUGAAAAAAUAAGUGUGGAUGUAUAGAAGAAAGAAUUGGAGGGAAAAAGAGCUAGUCGUCACGCUCAAGUGAAAAGAAAGAGAAAAAGAAUUAUGAAAACUGUUUAAUCCUUUAAAAACAAACACAUAAUAGAUGUAGAGGUAAAAUAGGUAUGAAAUUCAUCUCACAUAAUUGAGCAAAGAGUAAUUAAUUAAACGGUAUGGUAGAAUGGAGUGUCCAUUUUCAAUAUUAAUGGAUAAGAAGUGAAUUAUAGUCAAAAGUCAUGAUGGUAAGGAUAUAUGAAUGAUGUUGUUAUAAAGUAUGUAAGACUCGUAGAGUAAGUAUUGAAUUAAGCCCUUGAACACAUGCAGUGCAAGGUUUAAAUAUUCCAAAUUCCUAAUACAGAAUGGAUACAACCUGCAAAGGUUCUUUUUCAGUGAAAAAAACUGGCAGAAAAGUGUUGUCCUGUCGCUGCUUGAUUAUGAAUGUUCAAGGUCGAUUAUACGUGUAUUAUUAUAUUAGGGAGGGAUGGCUGCCUAUACUGAUUGUUGUUUGGAGAUUUCUUCAUAGUUCAAAUGGUUCAGAUGUACUGGCAACAAACACAGGCCGUGUUUGUUGUUGUAUUCCUUCAGUUCAUCUCUAGAUUUCUUAGAGUUGUACCCUUAACAUCAGAAAUGAAAAUGACAGCGGUCGUUUUUGCUGAAACUGCUUGGGCUGGAGCUGCUUGUCAUUUGCUAUCAUAUAUGCUUUGUAGCCAUGUAAAUGCCUAUUAAAUUUGUGUCUUUGUUUCACUAAUGAAGUCUGUUGUUAGUUGUUCUCCACCCUCUUUGUUGUGAUGCUAUAUGAACCGGCCUUUCUUGCUAAUUUUGAUAUUUGGUGUACAAUUUUCACUUUUUAACCUGUUCUAGCCCUGUUCUUAUGCAAAUAUGGUUACUCAAGUAAUUAAUUUUUUAUCUGUCUUAUUGUUGGAUGAAUGUUUGAGACAGAAGGGGCAUUCUGGUACUUGGCAGCUGUAGGACGAAAUGAUGCAUGCUUGAUUCCAGCAAUUUAUGGCGUGCAAUAUGGAGUACGCCAGGCUGGAAAUUAGUCUUUCACCGUGUUAAAGGAAAAAGAAGAAGGUUAUGCCUCAAGUUGGAAUUGACUCCAUAAAGUGGACUCACUGAAACAUUGCAGAAUUCUCCACCAAAACGUGCAAUUUGCAGUAUUGACUACGCUAGUGGAAAAGAUCAAGAAGACUUGAAUGCCGGAACUAGCUUCUUUGCACCGACAAUAAGCUACCUAAAAGCAAAUAGGAUUGCAGAACCCCAACUUCACUUCAGUGAACUCAAGACAAGUUAGUUUACCAAGUCUCUGUAAUCUUUUCCUGCUAAAUGUUUGGUUUCCAUUAGAAUUUUCUAUAUGCUGAUUCCAAUUCUAAUUUCCUGUUGAAAGUCAAGGCUGGGGAUAGAAUUUGGCACUAAACGAAAAAUUUGUAUGGGGUCCAAGAACAAAUAUUAUAAUGUAGAAGCUAUAUGAACCGGUCUUUCUUGCUAAUUUGGUCUCUGGGGCAAAACUUUUUGACCUAAUAACCUGUUCUAGCCCUGUUCUUACGCAAAUAUGGUUACUCAAGCAAUUAUUUUUUGAUCUGUAUUUUUAUUGGAUGAACGUUUUAGGUGGUAGGGGAAUUCUGAUACUUGGUAGCUGUAGAUGUACAUGCUGGCAGAAGUGAUAAAUGUAAAAAUAAUUUCCUCUACUGUGGGAAGCAGCAGAUGGACGGUUAUAGCAUAUGGGAUGGCAUCGGAGAUUCUGUUCUUAAUGAUUAGUUCCCAGCAGCUGACAAUAAUGAUAAUCCUCCCUUUGAUUUUGGAAUCUUCACUCAGGCUUUGUCAAAAAUGUUAAUCAAACGGAAAUAUAACUUAUUUUCAUAUUUUGUUUCCAUAAUAGACUAAUAUAACUACAUAUAUUAUAUGAGAGCAUAAGUUAAAGUAUUGCACGGAUCCAUAAACAUAUAAAUAUGUAGUAUAAUUAUAUGUUUCUGACUAAUCAAUUGUAAUUAGCAAUGGUAAUCCUUAAUCUAAGUAAAAUACUAAAUAAUUCAAAUGAGUUUAAACAUAACAAAUUUUGUCCUUAGAGCUCAUAUUCUUUAUCCAAGCUGCUUGGCGGCGUUAUUCCGAGAGGAAGAGCAUGGAUCCUUGUAGGAUGGAAGAAGAAUCAGCAGAAGGGACGGAUGGAACCCGCAAUAACAGUCCACUUUCUUAGCUUCCAAGUUUGCAGCAAAUGGACUUCGUGGUAUUCAUUAAAAUCGGAAUGUUAAGAGUGCAAAGGAGUUGGUGAAACUACAAAAGCCUCCUGAGCCUGAUUUUACUGUUGAAGACGCAGAUUGAUUUGUUAAAAUGCUGUUACUUUGAUCUAAAUUGUAUUCGAUUGGCAGAUCUGAAAACAAUGUAUAAUACACACACAUUCCAGUUUGGAAUAGGAGUUGCAAGGCUUGCUGGAGAAAUGUUAUGACUGUAAAGCUUGCUUGCUGCUU
rnacentral:lncRNA from 1 species